rnacentral:lncRNA from 1 species
CUCCCUCACAAACCUACAUCCAUUUUUCUUUUCUUUUCUUUUCUUUUCUUUCUUUGAGAGAGAAAGAGGUAACAUGUUAUCCAUUUCGUUCAUUUCAUUUAGAAAUGAAUUUAACUGAAAAUAUAGAUAAACUAGGAUUCGAAUUUUGGAUUUCGAAUACCAGUCACUAAGCUCUUUGCCACUUGCGCUAGGGACGGUCGGUGACUUAUGCUUGAUCUUGAAAAUGACGUAAUGAUUUUUUGUAA